rnacentral:rRNA from 1 species
AGUUCAAAAGUUGGAUUAAUAGCAUCCAUCUUUAAAAAAGUGUGUAGAAUCUUAUGAGCUAAAUUGUCUAUGACGGUGUUUUUCAAAUAAAAGCGAUGCUGGCCCUAUAAAUGUUAGGGUAGAAUGUUCAGCCAAUUGACAAUUGAGUCUUGGUGUGAAAAUGGCAAUUUGAGUAAUUUUAAUUCGUGUGAACCUGAAUAAUUGGCAUAGCCAAUUUCUAAAUAUCACUGUUUGACACAUUAGGGUAGAUCCAAUUCCUUAAGCGAGAUCCUUUUGGUUGUAGCUGAUGGGUAGCAUUUUAUUAACGUUGUUGCUCGUUU